GUGGCGGACGGGUGAGUAACGCGUGGGUAACCUGCCUUAUACAGGGGGAUAACAGUCAGAAAUGACUGCUAAUACCGCAUAAGCGCACAGAGCUGCAUGGCUCGGUGUGAAAAACUCCGGUGGUAUAAGAUGGACCCGCGUUGGAUUAGCUAGUUGGUGAGGUAAUGGCCCACCAAGGCGACGAUCCAUAGCCGGCCUGAGAGGGUGAACGGCCACAUUGGGACUGAGACACGGCCCAGACUCCUACGGGAGGCAGCAGUGGGGAAUAUUGCACAAUGGGGGAAACCCUGAUGCAGCGACGCCGCGUGAAGGAAGAAGUAUCUCGGUAUGUAAACUUCUAUCAGCAGGGAAGAAAAUGACGGUACCUGACUAAGAAGCCCCGGCUAACUACGUGCCAGCAGCCGCGGUAAUACGUAGGGGGCAAGCGUUAUCCGGAUUUACUGGGUGUAAAGGGAGCGUAGACGGAUGGACAAGUCUGAUGUGAAAGGCUGGGGCUCAACCCCGGGACUGCAUUGGAAACUGCCCGUCUUGAGUGCCGGAGAGGUAAGCGGAAUUCCUAGUGUAGCGGUGAA
rnacentral:rRNA from 1 species